rnacentral:lncRNA from 1 species
AUACUGCAACAAUGAAUGCGGUCAUGUUUGGGAGCUACUCAGCUACUGCAGUGUUGCAAGCUAUAUGAGUUUCAAGCACGUAAAUCGGAGGGGAGCAGAAGAACCACUUUGUUCCCCAGCCCUGCCCCCGGGUGUAUAAAUAGCCGCCUGGGUGGCUGCUGGAGUGCCUCUCAUUCCAGAGAUCUUUGGCCACCCUCUUAUCAAAACAGAAAGACUGACUUCACUCCUGCUCUCUGCCGACUGAUUUCAUGCUGGAAACAGCACAGCUUAUUGGGCUUGGCAAAGGCAGCUUUCAUCAGACCAACCUCACAACUUUCUUACCAACAGCUGGCAUAAACAGAAGAAAUGCGUCCUCUCCCAGCUCUAGUGUGGCAUCUGAUGUCCUCCCCCAAUUCUGAUGCUGAAGACCAUCAUUUUUACGUAAGGUAUGCAGGAAGACCACAGCAGGCAAUACUGCGAAAUAAAGGACCAGGCAGAAAGCA